CGGCUGGGGCCGCUCUGGGGUCCCUCCCACCGUACCCAAAGCCUACCAGCCCCAGUUUUAGACACUGCCGGGUCCUUCCACCCCGCUCCACGCGCCCUGCCCGCGCGGAGCUCCUUCAGUCCCAGAGCCUCAGCCCGGACCCCGGCCCUGCUGCUGGCGCUUUGCUGGGGAGAAGGCGUUUGGAUUCCGGGUCGUCUCUGGGCGGUCCUACCGAAUGUCCCAAAUUGUCCCGCCCCAACCCCUAGCCUUUCUGUAGUCCCGUUGUUAGAGGAUUCCCAUUUCUGCUGUCUGCUGGACAGCCCCUGGAGCUUUCACGGGUACCUCACACCCACACAGCCAACGUGGAACUCAACAUCCCGCAAGCAGCCGCUUUUCUCCUGGGUGCUCAGUUUGUAAGGGGAUCCCACCAUCCACUCAGGUCAUCAGUGGCAGAGGAGUGUGGUGAUGCUGUUGGAGACUCUCCUUCCCUCUUGAUGGAAGCAGACAACAGGAGGGACUGGAAGAAGAAAAAGGACAUGUCGCCUCAGGCCAAAUGAGACCUGCAGUCGAAAACCAUGAUUGGUGCCUCUGCUGAGCGUGGGACAGGAAGAGUUAACAUGCUGACAGAUGGCAUUUUUUACCUUCAGUCAAUAUGAACAAGGCCCCAAGACUAUGAUUCCAAACAUCUGGAUUUCAUCAAUAUGUGAUCUGUCAUCGUAUAUUGGCAUUCCCCAGUCCCUGCGCCAGAGCAAUGCGGCUGGUUUUAUUAAUACGUCAAAUACAUUAUCCGUGUAAUACA